UCAUCAAAAUUUUAAGACACUUGAGGGUUAGGAUAGGGAUUUCACCAAUGCAAAUUCAUUACAGCCCUGUAAAUGAAUCGUCCGACUAUUAAGCAAAUGGUGUCGUUUAGUUUUACCGGAUUAGAUUAAUCAAUCGGUACAAAGUCAUCAAGAGCAGGAAACAUGUACGUAACUGAGGACAGAUUGAUAAUGGUGGAGUUCGUUGUCAUCCAAAAGCAUGUUUUCAUCUUGUUCAUCUCCAAUUCCUAUAGGAAAGAGAUCCAAGGCGAUGGUGUGUAUAAGUUUGUUAUCCUUUCUCUUCUUUACAAAGCACACACAACCCUAUGUAGAGAGAGACCGAGUGAAAAGGGGAGUCGGCCAACAGUUUUCCGGCGAACCCCUACGUUUCCAAGUAUACCGGUGAUUAAGAACCAGGCUGUGGCGACGAUUUGCGAUUUAAUUACCGGCAACCAGCUACAUAUCUGAUGUUUUUGGUAAGUGUAAGUAACUACUUUUCCAACCAUGUGUCAUGCCCUGUCAUGAUAGUUAAAGGCACUACUUAAAAGAACCUUGGCCUCCUUCUAGAAGAGCUUCAAUGGAGGAUUCUGGACGACAUACGAGACAUUAUAUAACGUGUGCUGCAUAUUGUUUGUACUCUGCAAGCAGCACUCUUCAGUCCUAAUAUAAGGGUGAGUGUAUCUGUCGUUUAUGACGCUUAAUCUGUCGUACAUUGUUUGUGAUAUGUUUUUUAUUUUUGUGUUGUACAUUGUCAUUUGGGGUAUGCUUCAUUUGUUAUACAUUGUUGUUUGAGAUAUGCUUAGAUGGUUGUACAUUUGCUUUUUUUGAUGCAUGCUGUUUAUGUAUUAUCUAUUGAACAGAUAUACACAAAUAUAAUUUACAUCAUUGAUGAACUGCAACACCUUAAUCUUUCAAGCAUUCAUAUGUACAUUUCAAGAACAACUCAUCCACCAAGUCAAUUGCUUUGUUGCUUCAACCUUCAUUACUAUAGUCACAUUUUUCACAUUCUCUUAGCCAAACCAUUAUCUCGGUUUCCACAGUUGUUAAAAUGUUUGUUAAAGUCAAAAAAGUCCUCAUACCUUUUGAACCCUCAAGGCUAUUAUGCAUUUUUCUUGAAUUUUUGUUCAUAUUGUUUUACUGUAGCUUGGUUCUCAUUUGUCAUGUGACUUGUGAUUUUAAGUUAACUAAUUUACAUCAAAAUCGUUUUAAGGCUUAAGGUUUGAGUUAUGUUUUCGCCCCAUACUGUCGACUCCGCUGCAACGCGCGGGUUCCCCACUAGUUCCAAUAAACUAGUAAAAGGAUAACUUUAUUUGAAUCAAGAUAGAUCAAAAUGAUAUUUUUGUAAUAGCCGGGUCCAUUUUGAAAGCUCUUAAAAUGCAGAGGGUGAUUAUAGUAAAAUUCGAAUUAGGGUAACCUCACACUUUCUAUUUAAAUUAGCCUAAUUCCAUUUCCAUCAUAAUCACCGCCGCACCCUUUCUUCUCCCGUCCAUCGACAUCCCCGACCAUAAAGAUGACAUCUCUUAUUCAGUACCAAUGUAAGAGCUUUUAUUUUCAUUUUAUCUAAUUUGAUUUACCUCAUAAUCUUACUUUACAUUUUUAAAAAUCAUUGCUUGUUUUCAAAGUACCAAUUUAUUUUUGAUUUAACUAAUUUUAAAGACAUAUAUGCUUUGAUUUUGUUGGUGAUAAUGUAACAUAUAUGCGUACUAACUCAGAUCAGUUUUCAAAAUGAAGAAAUUCGUUACCAAAUACAUUUAUAGGAAUUUUGAUUUUCUACAAGCAUGUUCUAGCCUAGAUCUAUAAACAAAUGAAGAAGAAUUUGUCACAGAUUUUUUGUUCCUUAUUUUGCCGUGUAGUUCCAAGGAUUUUUUGUUUUCUGCUUGUUUUGUUGGUUUUAAAUGUUAGGUUUGGUGUUAUUCACCCAUCUCACAUCACAAAUGGAUUUGUCUAAUCAUUUUGGUGUAGACUAUAGCAUAUUGAUCGUUCAUAGCGUUUCAAGUAUCUCAAAUGAGAAAGGUUUAAAUUUGAUGAUGAAAGUACGUGUUACCAAAGAAGAAGAUAUGAAGAGAGUAUUGUUUGAUCUUUAUGGAGGCAAGAAGGUAAUUUGGUGGAUGAUAUAGGUGAUUUAUAAGAAUACACUUUACAUAAACUUAUACUUGAUUCAUGUAUUAUGUAUUAUUAUGAAUUAGUUACAUGAAGCUAACCUUGGGGUCAAUUCUACUCCAUCUGAUUAUACAAAGAAUUCAAAUGCAUGUAUGCUUGUGUAUACGUGAAAGUGAGAAGGCUAAAAUACUCUGUAAGGUGGAUGGGACGGAUAUGGCAGAGCACCUUAGAAUAAGAUUGAAGAAAGAAGAGGCACAUCUGUAUACAAACAUAAAGGAUGCUUGAGAUGGGGAUCUUCAUAAACAGAUUGGGAAACUAGGUUGCUUGAGAUGGGAUCUUCAUAAACAAAUUGGGUUGGUCAGGGGAAGCGUACUUGUGCCAUGUGUCGCACUGCAAUUCCUCUUAAAAUGGCUAGUCAACCAAGAAUCAAUUCAUCACUUGUAAUUGCAAUUAGAAUGGCAAAGAUGACUAGAUCAAACUGCCCUCAUGAUUGUUAUAGUUUUAGCAUAUGAAAAUUGUAAAACGGAUUCUAAUCAUAUGCGUUGGAUCAUAAUUUUGCAGCAAUGAAAAUGGAGCCCGCCCGACACCUUGCCUGUCUUUAAGGAGCUGAAGGAUGCAAGUGAUGUGAUAGAGAGGAAGGGAUCCACAUCUUGGGGUUAUGAUUGCAACUCUUAUCUUUGAGGUGGAGCUGGUGGCUUGUAGGCCAAGAAAAGGUUCUAGCAUGCCAGCGCCUUAGAUGAAGGGGCUAGACUAGAUGAGCUGAAGAGGCAAAGGGAAAUGGUUGCUGCACUGAAGGAAGAAGA